rnacentral:misc_RNA from 1 species
AAGUCGUAACAAGGUUUCCGUAGGUGAACCUGCGGAAGGAUCAUUAACGAGUUUUGAAAAGAGUUGUAGCUGGCCUUUAAAAUCAUUAAUCAAAUAAAAAUAAAAAAAAAGGCAUGUGCACACUCUGCUCAUCCACUCUCAUACCCCUGUGCACUUAUUGUAGGCUGGGUCGGAUGACUGGCUGUGAAAGGCCGGUUUGAAAAGCCUUGUCUAUGUUUUAUUACAAACAAGUUCAGUUUAAGAAUGUUAUAUAUAUUAGCGUGUAACGCAAUAAAUACAACUUUCAGCAACGGAUCUCUUGGCUCUC